GAUCCUGGCUCAGGAUGAACGCUGGCGGCGUGCUUAACACAUGCAAGUCGAACGAAGCACUUUAAUUGAUUUCUUCGGAAUGAAGUUUUUGUGACUGAGUGGCGGACGGGUGAGUAACGCGUGGGUAACCUGCCUCAUACAGGGGGAUAACAGUUGGAAACGACUGCUAAUACCGCAUAAGCGCACAGGAUUGCAUGAUCCAGUGUGAAAAACCCCGGUGGUAUGAGAUGGACCCGCGU
rnacentral:rRNA from 1 species